GACGAACGCUGGCGGCGUGCCUAAUACAUGCAAGUCGAGCGCAGGAAACUGGCGGAACUCUUCGGAGGGAAGGCAGUGGAAUGAGCGGCGGACGGGUGAGUAACACGUAAGGAACCUACCUCAGGGAUUGGGAUAACUCCGAGAAAUCGGAGCUAAUACCGGAUAGUUCAACGGACCGCAUGGUCCGCUGAUGAAAGGCGCUCCGGCGUCACCUUGAGAUGGCCUUGCGGUGCAUUAGCUAGUUGGUGGGGUAACGGCCCACCAAGGCGACGAUGCAUAGCCGACCUGGGAGGGUGAUCGGCCACACUGGGACUGAGACACGGCCCAGACUCCUACGGGAGGCAGCAGUAGGGAAUCUUCCACAAUGGACGAAAGUCUGAUGGAGCAACGCCGCGUGAGUGAUGAAGGUUUUCGGAUCGUAAAACUCUGUUGUAAGGGAAGAACACGUACGAGAGGGAAUGCUCGUACCUUGACGGUACCUUACGAGAAAGCCACGGCUAACUACGUGCCAGCAGCCGCCGUAAUAC
rnacentral:rRNA from 1 species